GACGAACGCUGGCGGCGUGCUUAACACAUGCAAGUCGAACGGGAAGGCCCUGCUUUUGUGGGGUGCUCGAGUGGCGAACGGGUGAGUAACACGUGAGUAACCUGCCCUUGACUUUGGGAUAACUUCAGGAAACUGGGGCUAAUACCGGAUAGGAGCUCCUGCUGCAUGGUGGGGGUUGGAAAGUUUCGGCGGUUGGGGAUGGACUCGCGGCUUAUCAGCUUGUUGGUGGGGUAGUGGCUUACCAAGGCUUUGACGGGUAGCCGGCCUGAGAGGGUGACCGGCCACAUUGGGACUGAGAUACGGCCCAGACUCCUACGGGAGGCAGCAGUGGAGAAUAUUACACAAUGGGAUGAAGCCUGAUGCAACAACGCCGCGUGCGGGAUGACAGCCUUCGGGUUGUAAACCGCUUUCGCCUGUGACGAAGCGUGAGUGACGGUAAUGGGUAAAGAAGCACCGGCUAACUACGUG
rnacentral:rRNA from 1 species